rnacentral:rRNA from 1 species
UGAGGAAUAUUGGUCAAUGGGCGAGAGCCUGAACCAGCCAAGUAGCGUGCAGGAUGACGGCCCUAUGGGUUGUAAACUGCUUUUAUAUGGGAAUAAAGUGAGGGACGUGUCCCUUAUUGCAUGUACCAUACGAAUAAGGACCGGCUAAUUCCGUGCCAGCAGCCGCGGUAAUACGGAAGGUCCAGGCGUUAUCCGGAUUUAUUGGGUUUAAAGGGAGCGUAGGCUGUUUGUUAAGCGUGUUGUGAAAUGUAGGAGCUCAACUUUUAGAUUGCAGCGCGAACUGGCAGACUUGAGUGCGCACAACGUAGGCGGAAUUCAUGGUGUAGCGGUGAAAUGCUUAGAUAUCAUGACGAACUCCGAUUGCGAAGGCAGCUUACGGGAGCACAACUGACGCUAAAGCUCGAAGGUGCGGGUAUCGAACAGG